rfam:Ricinus communis ctg_1100012358557, whole genome shotgun sequence.
AAAAAAGCAGGCCCUUGUUGCCUUGUGAACUGGGAUCUCGUAAACUUCAGGGAAAUUAUUUCUCAUUGUUAUUGGGUGAACCUCAGUAGCUUAUAGGGACUGAAGGUUCAGUAAAUGAUGGCACAUCU